rnacentral:misc_RNA from 1 species
GUUGUUUUUAAUUUAGUUUUCGCAGAAGCACAUUUCUUUAUUGCGAGGGAAAUACGUGCCUACAGUUCUAUAGCGACAUGUCUCACAGUGUCUAGUGCAAAAAAUAAAAUUGAAAGAGAAUUGGUGCGACAUUUAACUCGAGAAUAAAAAAAAAAAACGGCUUUGCUGUGACAGUAAGGUCAUUCAAUAUAAUUAAUGUUUGAAAUAUCCAAAUUACUCGUUGUUAACGCGGAUACAAUAUUAACUUGAGGCAGUUCGUCUUCGUACAGUCUUAGUUCUGCACCAGGAAAUCAGACGUUGUAAAUAAUGCCGGGAAUGAAAAGGUCACAAGGCUCGUUGCGAUGCGCUGGAAUAUUUGCUCUGAUUGGUUGUGCUUUGAACGCUUACGCAGCACCCGUUGUAUUCGAAAAUGAAGCAGAACCGAACCACACGAUGCCAUUGAAGUCUUCUAUUUUUCCAAUCUUCAUCGACAAAGUUCGAACAUCCAUAGGGAGAUCGAAGAGAUAUACUCUUCAAGGGACCAAAUGGAUGCACAAAAAUUUAACAUACAGAAUAAACAAUUACCCCGAAAAUCUGAAUAAAACGGAUGUUGAUAAUGAAAUCGCCAGGGCAUUUGCUGUGUGGUCAAAUUAUACAGACCUGAAAUUCGCAGUAGGAAGUGGAAAGGUCGACAUCGACAUCAGCUUCCACCGCGGAGAUCACGGAUCCAACUGCGAACCGUUCAGUGGAACGUCGAAAAUGACGGCGCACGCUUUUUACCCGGGGACUCGAUUCACUGGGGAUGCCCAUUUCGACCUGUCUCGAAAUUGGACUAUCAGAAACAACUCCGGUAUCGAUCUCUUUCAGACAGCAGUGCAUGAGUUCGGUCAUUCCCUCGGUCUUGAUCACAGCAACUUUCAGACCGCUGCCAUGUGGCCGGUCAUCAGGAGUUACUCUCCUAAUUACCAGUUGGACAAUGAUGACAUUACUGGGAUACAAAAAAUCUACGGAACAAAAACUGAAGGUACAUAAAAUAGCACGAAGGAUCAGGACGCUUCACAUAGAGAAGGAAUCCUUUUUUCAGUUACUACAGAGUCUCCACCACCAGUAUCGAAUAAAACAAUGUCUGAAACCAAUAAAAUUCAUGUGAUAAACAAACAUUUGCUGUUAUUACGAUGACCAAUCGCAAGGCGGCAAUAACCUGUAGUGAAAAAAUCCCGUCGACCUUUUCUCCUUGAUCUGAUCCACAGGUGUGGCUGGAAGUAUCGUUGCGAGAUAU